UCCUCCUGAGUCAGGCAGAGGAGAGGAAGCAGGUGGAGAAGAAGCAGGAAAAUGAUCUGGUUGCAGAAAUGGGCUCCAAUUACUCUGAGGCAGAGAGGACUCGGAUGGACACCAGAGAGAGUUCACUAGGU